AUUGAACGCUGGCGGCAUGCUUUACACAUGCAAGUCGAACGGUAACAGGGAGCUUGCUCCUCUGUCGAGUGGCGAACGGGUGAGUAAUAUAUCGGAACGUACCCAAUAGUGGGGGAUAACGUAGCGAAAGUUACGCUAAUACCGCAUACGAUCUAAGGAUGAAAGCAGGGGACCUUCGGGCCUUGUGCUCCUGGAGCGGCCUAUAUCUGAUUAGCUAGUUGGUGAGGUAAAGGCUCACCAAGGCGACGAUCAGUAGCUGGUCUGAGAGGACGACCAGCCACACUGGAACUGAGACACGGUCCAGACUCCUACGGGAGGCAGCAGUGGGGAAUGUUGGACAAUGGGCGCAAGCCUGAUCCAGCAAUGCCGCGUGAGUGAAGAAGGCCUUCGGGUUGUAAAGCUCUUUUGUCAGGGAAGAAACGGGAUUGGCUAAUAUCCAGUCCUAAUGACGGUACCUGAAGAAUAAGCACCGGCUAACUACGUG
rnacentral:rRNA from 1 species